rnacentral:rRNA from 1 species
UACGAAGGGGGCUAGCGUUGCUCGGAAUCACUGGGCGUAAAGGGUGCGUAGGCGGGGCUUUAAGUCAGGGGUGAAAUCCUGGAGCUCAACUCCAGAACUGCCUUUGAUACUGAAGAUCUUGAGUUCGGGAGAGGUGAGUGGAACUGCGAGUGUAGAGGUGAAAUUCGUAGAUAUUCGCAAGAACACCAGUGGCGAAGGCGGCUCACUGGCCCGAUACUGACGCUGAGGCACGAAAGCGUGGGGAGCGAACAGG